UGACCAUCUACCCACAGACAAGGGCCC
rnacentral:piRNA from 1 species